GACGAACGCUGGCGGCGUGCUUAACACAUGCAAGUCGAACGGAAAGGCCCUGCUUUGGUGGGGUGCUCGAGUGGCGAACGGGUGAGUAACACGUGAGUAACCUGCCCUUGACUUUGGGAUAACUUCAGGAAACUGGGGCUAAUACCGGAUAGGAGCUCCUGCUGCAUGGUGGGGGUUGGAAAGUUUCGGCGGUUGGGGAUGGACUCGCGGCUUAUCAGCUUGUUGGUGGGGUAGUGGCUUACCAAGGCUUCGACGGGUAGCCGGCCUGAGAGGGUGACCGGCCACAUUGGGACUGAGAUACGGCCCAGACUCCUACGGUAGGCAGCAGUGGGGAAUAUUGCACAAUGGGCGGACGCCGGAUGCAGCAACGCCGCGUGCGGUAUGACGGCCUUCGGGUUGUAAACCGCUUUCGCCUGUGACGAAGCUUGAGUGACGGUAAUGGGUAAAGAAGCACCGGCUAACUACGUG
rnacentral:rRNA from 1 species